GUGGUUUAAUUCGAUGCAACGCGAAAAACCUUACCCACCUUUGACAUGUACGGAAUCCUUUAGAGAUAGAGGAGUGCUCGAAAGAGAACCGUAACACAGGUGCUGCAUGGCUGUCGUCAGCUCGUGUCGUGAGAUGUUGGGUUAAGUCCCGCAACGAGCGCAACCCUUGUCAUUAGUUGCUACAUUCAGUUGGGCACUCUAAUGAGACUGCCGGUGACAAACCGGAGGAAGGUGGGGAUGACGUCAAGUCCUCAUGGCCCUUAUAGGUGGGGCUACACACGUCAUACAAUGGCUGGUACAGAGGGUUGCCAACCCGCGAGGGGGAGCCAAUCCCAUAAAGCCAGUCGUAGUCCGGAUCGCAGUCUGCAACUCGACUGCGUGAAGUCGGAAUCGCUAGUAAUCGCGGAUCAGAAUGUCGCGGUGAAUACGUUCCCGGGUCUUGUACACACCGCCCGUCACACCAUGGGAGCGGGUUCUGCCAGAAGUAGUUAGCCUAACCGCAAGGAGGGCGAUUACCACGGCAGGGUUCGUGACUGGGGUGAAGUCGUAACAA
rnacentral:rRNA from 1 species